rnacentral:rRNA from 1 species
UACGGAGGGUGCGAGCGUUGUCCGGAAUCACUGGGCGUAAAGGGCGCGUAGGCGGCUGGGGAAGUCGGCGGUGAAAGCCCGGAGCUCAACUCCGGGUCGGCCGUCGAGACUCCUCGGCUCGAGCUCACUAGAGGCAGAUGGAAUUCCGGGUGUAGCGGUGGAAUGCGUAGAGAUCCGGAAGAACACCGGUGGCGAAGGCGGUCUGCUGGGGUGAGGCUGACGCUGAGGCGCGACAGCGUGGGGAGCAAUCCGG